rnacentral:tRNA from 1 species
GCGGGCGUAGCUCAAUUGGUUAGCAGCGCCGCCCUGUCACGGCGGAGGUUGCGGGUUCGAGUCCCGUCGCUCGCGC